rnacentral:lncRNA from 1 species
GGGUGAUAGAGUGAGACUCUGUCUCAAAAGACAAACAAACGAACAAAAAAACAGACGGCACGCUUGACACAGCAGCUAUGAGUUGGACCAUGCACUUGCCUAAAUGUAUGGUGGUCCCCUGUCCCCUACCACAGUCCAUCUUUUUUUAUUUUUUGAGACGGAGCCUCGCUCUGUCGCCAGGCUGGAGUGCAGUGGUGCGAUCUCGGCUCACUGCAACCUCCGCCUCCCGGGUUCAAGCUAUUCUCCUGCCUCAGCCUCCCAAGUAGCUGAGACUACAGUGCGUUCCACCACGCCCAGCUAAUUUUUGUAUUUUCAGUAGAAAUGGGGUUUUACUAUGUUGGCCAGGAUGGUCUCCAUCUCUUGACCUCGUGAUGUGCCUGCCUUGCCCUCCCAAAAUGCUGGGAUUACAGGUGUGAGCCACUAUGCCUGGCCAAUCCAUCAGUUUUUUUAGGAGCCAAACAGGUGAACUCAAUGGGGAGCUACCCAUUGGAUAGGAAUCACCACCCCUCUGAAUCUUUUACAUCUUUGAAGGUGGCACUAGCAUCUACAAUUCCAUGUGGCAAACAGUGUGUGUUCUGAUUGAAUACUGGCUGGGUCGAGACAGGGUAAGGGGACCGAUGUGAAUGGCUAAGUUUAUCUAUCCCAAAUGUGUCCUUGGGUGGCAGGGAACUUACUACCAGGCGGGUCCAUAGACACAUUUAUUUUUACUUUUAUAUUUACAUUUAAUUUAAUUUUUUUUUUUUCAGAGACAGGGUCUCACUCUGCUGUCCUGGCUGGAGUGCAGUGGUGCAAUCAUGGCUCACUGCAGCCUCGAACUCCUGGGCUUAAGCCAUCCACCUGCCUCAGUCUCCUAAGUAGCUGGCACCACAGGUGCACACCAUCACGCCGAGCUAAUUUUUAAAUUUUUUUGUAGAGAAAGGGUCCCACUAUUUGCCCAGGCUGGUCUCGAACUCUCAAGUGAUUCUCCCACCUUUGUCUUCCAAAGUGCUGGAAGACUGGGUCCGCCGCAGAGAAUACAUUUCAUAGCCCGGCAGACUGGUGGUUUCAGUGCCUUCAUGAAUUUUACUCCCUGUAGUAAGAGGCUUUCCAUGAGCAGUCUUGUGGUCACCACAUUUUAUUAGUGGGUUUUCCCCAGUCACCUUCCAUAAAACAGGCCUGCACAGGCUGGGGGCGGUGGCUUAUGCCUGUAAUCCCAGCACUUUGGGAGGCCGAGGUGGGCAGAUCACCUGAGUUCAGGUGUUCAAGACCAGCCAGGCCAAGAUGGUGAAACCACAUCUCUACUAAAAAUUCCAAAAUUAGCCAGGCGUGGUAGCAGGCACCUGUAGUCCCAGCUAAUCAGAAGGCUGAGGCAGGGGAAUUGCUUGAACCUGGGAGGUGGAGGUUGCAGUGAGCCAAGAUUGCACCACUGCACUCCAGCCUGGGCAGCAGAGUGAGACUGUCUCACAAAAAAAAAAAAAAGAAGUGUCAGGUGCUGGCAGAGACACUGCUUUUCCCUAAUUGACCUGUUUGGUCCUCACAUUAACCAUAUUUUACAGCUACUCUCAUUUACAGAUAAGGAAACUGGGCCAAUGAGGAGGUGAGAAAUCGCUCAAGGCUGCCAGGUACAGUGGCUCAUCCCUGUAAUCCCAGCACUUUGGGAGGCCAAGGGAGGAGGAUUAAUUGAGGCCAGGAGUUUGAGACCAGCCUAGGCAACAUAAUGAGACUCUGUCUCUACAAAAAAUUUAAAAAUUAGUGGGGUGUGGUGAUGCAUGUGUAGUCCCAGCUACUCCGGAGGCUGAGGUGGGAGGAUCGCUUGAUCCCAGGUGUCUGAGACAGUAGUGAGCUACGAUUGCACCACUGCACUACAACCUCGGUGAUGCAAUGAGACGCUGUCUCAAAAAAAAAAAACCACACACACACAAAACAACAAAAAAACAAAUUGUUCAAGGCGAGCCUGGUGUGCCAAGCCCUUGUUCUGGGCACUUGGCUUAUAUUAUCUCCCUUAAUCCUUCCCACCACCCCAAGUGCUAGAUACUGGGAUUAAUUUAGUUGAGCUGUAAUACAUCAAUACUGUGUGAAAUGCUAUGCAACAUCUAAAAGGAAGACAGGUGGAGCUUUUAUUUAUUUUUUAUUUUAUUUAUUUUUUGAGACGCAGUCUCGCUGCAUUACCCAACCUGGAGUGCAGUGGCACAAUCACAGCUCACUGUAGCCUCAACCUCCUGGGUUCAAACAAUCCUCCCACCUCAGCCUCUCAAGUAGCUGGGACUACAGGCUUACACCACCAAGCUUGGCUAAUUUUUUUUUUUUUUUUUUUUAGAGAUGGUGUUUUGCUAAGUUGUCCACACUGAUCUCAAAAUCCUUUUGUUUUUGCUUUGGAAUGGUCUGGAACUCCUGAGCUCAAGUGAUCCUCCCACCUUGGCCUCCCAAAGGCCUGGGAUUACACGUAUGAGCCACCGCACCAAGCCCAUGUUGAGCUUUUAAGGUAUUAAAGAUCCACUAGGUGAAAAAAAAGAGUGAAAGAUACAUAUGCCAUUUAAGGGAAGCACAGGAAAACUCCUAUUUUGUUUAUAUGUGAAUAGAGGCACAUAGAUGCCUAGAAAAGUGUCUGGGAGGGAAUGAAACCAGAUUGGCCACAAAAAUCACCUCUGGAAAAAGGAAAAGAAUGGGGACUUUCACUUUUUGCUUCAUAUGUUUCAUGUACCUUUUUUUUUUUUUUUUUGAGAUGGAGUUUCACUCUUAUUGCCCAGGCUGGGGUGCAGUGGUGCGAUCUCAGCUCACUGCAACCUCUGCCUCCUAGGUUCAAGCGAUUCUCCUGCCUCAGCCUCCCAAGUAGCUGGGAUUACAGGCAUGCGCCACCACGCCCGGCUAAUUUUUUGUGUUUUUAGUAGAGACGAGGUUUCUCCAUGUUGGUCAGGCUGGUCUCGAACUCCUGACAUCAGGUGAUCUACCCACUUUGGCCUCCCAAAGUGCUGGGAUUACAGGCGUGAGCCACCGCGCCCAGCUGCUUUUUCUUUUUAAAAAGUAAAAUAUAACAGAGAAAACUGCACAAAACAGAAGUGUUCAAAUUAAAUUUUUUUUUUUUUGAGACAGGGUCUUGCCCUGUUGCCCAGGCUGGAGUGCAGUGGCUCAUUCAUAGCUCACUGCAGCCUCAAACUCCUGGGUUCAAGCGAUCCUCCCACCCCAGCCUCCUGAGUGGCUGGAAGGCCAAGGGAGGAUCGCUUGAGCCCAGGAGUUUGAGGCUGUGCCACCACACGCAGCUGGUUUUUUUUUUUUUUUUUAAUUUUUUGUAGAGACAGGGUCUCGCUAUGUCACCCACGCUGGUCUCAAACUCACGGGCUCAAGCAAUCCUCCCAUCUUUGGCCUCCCAAAGUACUGAGACUACAAACAUGAGCCAUCUUGCCCAGCCCCUAGAACGUGUUAUCAAAUAAACACCGAUGCAACCCUCACUCAGCUGAGAAGUAAAACAUUGCCAGCCAAUCCCUAAAUGCUUCUGCUUGCCGCUUCCCAAUCCUAACCAAUGCCUUCUCCUGACAAUUAUGAUGGUCAUGUCUUUGCAUUUCUCUAAUGUUUCCCAUCACGAUCAAACUAGUUUUGUUUUGCCUGUGUCCAAACUUUGCAUAAAUGAGCAGCAUGUGUCUGGUGGACCUGGCUUCUUCCACUCAACAUUAUGAUAAGAAGAUUGACCAUUUGGUGCCCAUAGCUAUUGCUCUUGCAUUUUCAUUGCUCUAUAGAUUCUUACUCAACAUACCUUAAAAAUUUUUUUAUUCUGAAAUAAGAGCGGGAUGCUAUUAAAAAAAGAAAAAAGAAGAGAACAAAAAAGUCCUCCAGUAAAUUUAAAAUAUGGUAGUCAAGGCCGGGCACGGUGGCUCACACCUGUAAUCCCAGCACUUUGGGAGGCUGAGGUGGGUGGAUCACCCGAGGUCAGGAGUUCGAGACCAGCCCGGCCAACAUGGCAAAACCCUGUCUCUACGAAAAAAAUACAUAAAUCAGCCAGGUGUGGUGGUGUGCACCCGUAAUCCCAGCUACUCGGGAGGCUGAGACAUGAGAAUUGCUUGAGCCCGGGAGGCAGAGGUUUCGGUGAGCUGAGAACUGCCACUGCACUCCAGCCUGGGUGACAGAAUGAGACUAUAAAAGAAAGAAAGAGAGAAAGAGAGAGAGAAAGGAAGGAGGGAAGGGAAGGGAGGGGAGGGGAGGGGAAGGGAGGGGAGGGGAGGGGAGAGAAGGGGAAGGGAAGGGAAGGAGAAGGGAAAGGGAAGGGAAGAAAAUUAGAGAUUAAUUCAGGAGAUUCAACAUCCGCCUAAUAGAAAUUCUAGAAAGAGGAAGUAGAGAAUAGAGAGGCCAGGUGCAGUGGCUCACACCUAUAAUCUCAGCACUUUGGGAGGCUGAAGUAGGAGGAUUGCUUAAGGCCAGGAGUUUGAGGCUGCAGUGAGCUAUGAUUGAGCCACUGUACUCCAGCCUGGAAAACAAAGCAAGACCUCGUCUCUAAAAGUAAUAAUAUGCCGGGACAGUGGCUCCCCACACUUUGGGAGGCUAAGGUGGGCGGAUCACUUGAGGUCAGGCUUUCGAGACCAGCCUGGCCAACAUGAUGAAACCCAAUCUCCACUAAAAAUAAAAAAAUUAGCCAGGUGUGGUGCUGCACACCUGUAACCCCAGCUACCUGGGAGGAGACAGGAGAAUCGCUUGAACCCGGGAGAUGGAGGUUGCAUGAGGUGAGAUCGCCUCAUUGCACUCCAGCCUGGGUGAUAGAAUGAGACUCUGUCUCAAAAUAAUAAUAAUAAUAAUAAAGUUAAAUAUAAAUAAAUAAAAGCAAAUGAAUAUAAUGAGUUUUAUUCAUUUGUUUUGCUGUUGUUAUUGUUUUGGAGACAGAGUUUUGUUCUUGUCGCCCAGGCUGGAGUACAAUGAUGCGAUCUGGUCUCACUGCAACCUUCGCUUCCUGGGUUCAAGCGAUUCUCCUGCCUUAGUCUCCUGAGUAGCUGGGAUUAGAGGCGUGUGACACCACGCCCGGGUAAUUUUUGUAUUUUUAGUAGAGACGGGGUUUCACCAUGUUGGCCAGGCUGGUCUCGAACUCCUGACCUCAGGUGAUCCACCAACCUGGGCCUCCCAAAGUGCUGGGAUUACAGGUAUGAGCUAUCAUGCCUGGCCUCAUUUCUUUUAAAAUCAGAAGGAAAAAAUAUAUAUAACUUUUAGGCCAAAAAUGUCUUCACAUAUAUUAAUAGAUUGAUCUUUUCCCAAUGCAACCAUAAAUAUCAUUUUUUAAAAUUAUUAUUAUUUUAGAAACAGGGUCUCACUCUGACGCCCAGGCUGAAGUGCAGUGGUAUGAUCUUAGCUCACUGUAGCCUCCAAUUCCUGGGCUCAAGCGAUCCUCCCACAUCAGCUUCUUGAAUGUGACCUCAGGCAGACGUCACCGUGCCCAGCUAAUUUUUAAUGUAAUUUUAUUUUUUUGGUAAAGAUGGGUUCUCAUUAUGUUGCCCAGGCCGGUCUUGAACUCCUGGCCUCAAGUGAUCCUCCUGCCUUGGCCUCCUAAGGUGCUGGUAUUAUAGGAUUGAGCCACCAAGCCCGGCCCGAAUAUAAUUUUUAAAUUUUUUUUUUUAAGACAGAGUUUCACUCUUGUUGCCUAGGCUGGAGUGCAGUGGCACGAUCUCGGCUGACCGCAACCUCCACCUCCCGGGUUCAAGCGAUUCUCCUGCCUCAGCCUCCUGAGUAGCUGGGAUUACAGGCAUGCACCACCACACCCAAAUAAUUUUCUAUUUUUAGUAGAGACAGGGUUUCUCCACAUUGGUCAGGCUGGUC